GUAGGUGAACCUGCGGAAGGAUCAUUAAUCUAAAGUUUUUAAGCGGGAAGUUUUUGUGCAACAACUAUCUUUUCAACAUUGAUAGUUGUUGGACAAUUCCUCCUGUGGUUCGGGUCCUCCCUUCUAGCAAUUAGUGAGGGAAGGCUCUGAUAACUUUUUGUGAACAAGUACCAACCCAAUUUUAAUCAAUAGUCUGAUGUUAUUUUGUGUUCUUUUUUGAACAACUAUAUUUUUAAUAUUAAAUAACUUUUAACAAUGGAUCUCUUGGCUCUC
rnacentral:misc_RNA from 1 species